rnacentral:rRNA from 1 species
UACGGAGGGAGCUAGCGUUGUUCGGAAUUACUGGGCGUAAAGCGCGCGUAGGCGGCUUUGUAAGUUAGAGGUGAAAGCCCGGAGCUCAACUCCGGAACUGCCUUUAAAAACUGCAUCGCUUGAAUCCAGGAGAGGUGAGUGGAAUUCCGAGUGUAGAGGUGAAAUUCGUAGAUAUUCGGCGGAACACCAGUGGCGAAGGCGACUCACUGGCCCGAUACUGA